rnacentral:sRNA from 1 species
UUUUUUUCUUUUAAACAGAUCCCAACCCAAAGUAUAAGCGCCCACCUAGUCCUAUCUAGUCCGAAAAAUGCGAACUAGAACUACAUGAGACACUAUCUCUGUCGUUACGAACCUAACACUUUCUACCAAGCUUAAUCGGAAUACGACCUCACAAACACUCACAAGUGAUAUAGGGUUUGAAAGAAAGUCUAGGUUUGGGUUUGGGUUAACUGCUCUAAUAAGGAAAGUCAGCUACUUGGAUUAACAAGAGUGAUCAAAAUGAAUAAGAAAAUUCAAGUAUUUUAGGGUAUCCAUGAGUUCAAAUUUGAUGCAGAUAUGAUAAUUAAAGAUCAGAUUCAGGUUCAAAUUGAUAGUGAAUGGUAUCAGAUCAUGACAGUGUGGUCGAGUAGAGCAAUUUAGGCAUGGUUCAGUUUUAUUUCAAAUUCAUUGACUACGCAACAGACAACUAGCAACGAGGGAACUGAGUUUAUCCAGUGAACCAAAAUGCUUACAAGGCUAUCUCAUCAUUAUCCCCUAUGCAUAUGCAACAAUCCUAAAUGAAACACUCUAGACUCGAUCCUAAAUGUAAUGCAACUACAUGAACACUCUUUUUUUGUGAAAUCAUUUUCUGAAAUUUUUCAAUUUUUUUUUGGUUUUUCUAUGCCUUAGAUGAAUGCAGACUCAAGAAUAUAUACAAUGCAACACACACUUCCUGAGCCCUCCCCCAAACUUAAAUCAGACAGUCCACUGUGCGAAUAAACUUGGAAGAGAGUGCUCAGGACAAAUCCAAUCACAGAAACAAAAUGAAGAAACAAAUCACAACGGAUGAUAUAAUACAAUGGUGAAGUGAGGCGCUUACCUCAGUCGAAGAAUGAACGUAGUUGCUCGUCAAUGGCUGCCUGUGAUUGCUCCCAGGCCAUAGACGAACCACCUUGUUCUGUAUCAGCUCCAGCAGGUGGGUACUCGACCUCAUCAGCUCUUUGGCGGCCAGCACCGCUAUGAGGAUACUCGACCUCUCUCCUUCUGUUGCGGCCAGCACCGCGGUCGAGUGAUCUCCUCGAGUGAAUGAGGCGUGAUCUGCUGCUAGAUCGAGUGAGUGUAGCCUUCCUUCUUCGCUUGUGCUCCCGGGACUCGAAUGACGAAUGCCUAGACGGGACAUGUGAGACUCUCUGCUCGCUAAGCUCAGGCCUGUGCGCAAGCUCAUCAAAUCUCCUCGAUGGCAUCUCCAGAGGAGUCUGUCCCUGUGGAAUAGCAGUGGUGGAGGAGGAACAACUCAGCUUAUCUGUCAGAAGCUUGAUAGUCUUGAAACACUUGGCGAGCAGCUUGUCCUGCUUCUUGCACCACUUCUGCAAUUUACUGUUGUUCUUAUGAGCUUCAGUCAAGCUCUUGCUCUCCCUCGCUAGAGGUACAUGUUCACCAAAGUGAUACACGCUAGUGUCGAACUCCACUGCUCUGUCUUCAUCCAUCCCAUCUGAAGCAGCUUCUUCUAGAAGAUCAUCCUCAUCCAAUGGCGGAGCGUUCUCAUAGUAGAGGCAUCCAACCUCAGGCCGAAAAUCAAUGUUAUCUCCCUCUAUUAUCCGUGUAACCUCAGGGCUAGGGAGAAGGAUGCUAGCUCUCUUGUCUGUAGAGUGCUCAAACCUGAACCUGUGGAAGUCGUCAACCAUUGCAAACUCCAGGAAUUCGCAGUGACGUAGGUGCUCGAUAUCCAUUGCUCGCGGCUCAAGUCCAGCAGAAAUGAUUAGGACUCAACAAGCUAUCAGAAUCGGUGUCACAACACCACCUAUGCACAGAGCGCCUCGUGCUCUCUUGUGGUUAUUGCUGACAGCCCAGCUCUUGUAUCCACACAGAUGGAUCAGAAGAAGUACAGAGAGAGGUGUGUCAUUGAUUUCACCUUGGAGAGACAUGCCAUUCUUAGUUUGGCGAAGAGUUCCCUUGAGAGCCAUUGCGAUCAUCUCCAUAUCAGAGUUAGUAACAGUCCCUGUGAUCUCUUAGGAGUAGAGUACAUUGGCUAUAGAACGCUGGAAGUAACUGAUGACAGGGCUGCGUAUCUGAUUGCUCUUUGACCUGGAAGAAUUCAGCGGUACAGAGCUGCCAAUGGUGAUCCACAAGUCUUUCAACUCUUCUCUGUCAUCCUUGGGCUUAGUUCCCGUUCCACUGGGGAAGCCAAACAAUCCUUCCAAGCGCUUAAUUUAUAGCCUAUACUCAUGACCAUACACAGAGAAUCACAAGAAUCUCAAUCCUUCACAAUCCAACUCAUCAGAGGUCAUACCUUGGUAGAGCUCCACUUGUAGCGUGGAGAGGAACUGAAUUGUCUCAUCUUCAUAUGCUACAUACGGAUAAGCCAUCAGAGUGUCCAGAUGACAACUCUGGUACAGGUGCUGAACAUCGUCCAACAAUCCGAGUUGUGCAAGUGUGGUCGAGCAAGGAUACCUCGUGCUACAGAACUCAUUCAGCUUGAAGAGCCUAAUAUAUUCCUCAGCAGGCAAUGCGUCGGGCUUGUGUAGAAGUUUGGUAGCUCUGUGAGUAUGCUCAGGCAUGUACUCGUCUUCCAGAUCUUUGUCUAUAAGCUCAUACCUCUCUGUCAUCGCUCUCUUCCCUCGGGCUAUCUCAGCUUUUCUUCUGAAGCUUUCAUAUUCUCUCUGUUCUCUCUCAGGCCUUGAAGAUGACGACUCUGUCUCAUCCAUGUUGUAGUCAGGAUCAAUAGAAGAACUGCCACUGUAAUUGCUCAUGAUUCCCUUGUAGAAAUUUAGAACUCAAAGCUCAAAUGUCAAUAGGUUAGUCUCAAAGAUAGUAAUGAAACCAAACCCUAUUGAUCGAGAACAAUUCUGUACUCGAGUAGAUUGAGUUGUUCCUGAGUUCCCUUUAGACGAUUUGGAUCGAGUAUUGUCUCUGAAUUCGAGUGGGUAUGCUUCAGGAGGUCGAGUGAAUCGUGGAGUUUAAGUUCAGCCGGUGAAGCCUAGAGGUCGAGUAGAUGGUUGCAGGAGGUCGAGUGAAUACUCGUGGUUGAGUUCUUUUAUUGUAAUCGAGUAGACCCUGAGACUUCGACGGUGAGCGAGGUGGAGUAUUCGAUUGCGGCGGCGCAGAGGUCGAGUGUUUCUCCUAGGUCGAGUGAGAUGCGAGACUGGGAAAAGAAGUCGAGUAACUUCUUUUGGAAGAGACGACGGUUGAGGUGGAUGAAUUUGGUCGAGUAUUGCAACGGAAUACUGAGUAGAUAACCAAAACAAAUAAAAAAUAACAAAAAUAGCAUCCGUUUGACAUGAUCAGGCCCGCUUCUUCCAAAUAGCUCGUCAACAGCUCCAAAUCACCUGAAAUCAACGCAAAUAUGCAACAUGCAUGCAAAUCUAUCCUAAACAUGUAAAGUGAUGACAAAUGAUGAGAAAUUGUAUAAAACAGUGAUGAUAUGAUGCUAAAAUGAUGACAAAUGGAUGCUAAAAACAUGCAAAAUACACACUUAUCAAUUACAAAAAAGCUAUGGAUCAAGAUUUAUUAU